UACGUAGGGUGCAAGCGUUGUCCGGAUUUAUUGGGCGUAAAGAGCUCGUAGGCGGCUUGGCAAGUCGGGUGUGAAAACUUCAGGCUCAACCUGGAGAUGCCACUCGAUACUGCUAUGGCUUGAGUCUGGUAGGGGAGCACGGAAUUCCUGGUGUAGCGGUGAAAUGCGCAGAUAUCAGGAGGAACACCGGUGGCGAAGGCGGUGCUCUGGGCCAGUACUGACGCUGAGGAGCGAAAGCGUGGGGAGCGAACAGG
rnacentral:rRNA from 1 species